UACGAAGGGGGCUAGCGUUGCUCGGAAUCACUGGGCGUAAAGCGCACGUAGGCGGAUUGUUAAGUCAGGGGUGAAAUCCUGGAGCUCAACUCCAGAACUGCCUUUGAUACUGGCGAUCUCGAGUCCGGGAGAGGUGAGUGGAACUGCGAGUGUAGAGGUGAAAUUCGUAGAUAUUCGCAAGAACACCAGUGGCGAAGGCGGCUCACUGGCCCGGUACUGACGCUGAGGUGCGAAAGCAUGGGGAGCAAACAGG
rnacentral:rRNA from 1 species